GCGAGCCUAGUCAACAUAGUGAAACACUAAAAUGGCACGCAUGUGGUGGUAAAAUCGUCGAAUCAACCCAACCGUAUGAUCCUUGUUUAGUUCCAAAAUAUUUUGUAAAAUCGACACUGUAGCUUUUUUGUUUUUUUUUAAACAAAUAUUAUCCAAUCAUAGACUAAUUAGGUUCAAAAGAUUCGUCUCGUCAAUUUCGACCAAACUGUGCAAUUAGUUUUUAUUUUUAUCUAUAUUUAAUAUUUCAUGCAUGUGUCUAAAGAUUUGAUGUAACGGGAAUCUAAAAAAUUUUACAAAAUUUUUUAAACUAAACAAUGCCUAAAUUACCAUACAUUUCCGGAUACCUUUCGCGACCUUGUCAAAAGUAGUAUCGCCCAGCCGCCCCCGGCUAGCGGCUCUAGCUAGGUCUCGGACGACAUGGCUGAUGGCUCCCUGCUUCUUGGAGAAAGGCCCGCCCGGCCCUGUGUUUCUCCGUUGCCCGGUUGACAGAUCGAUACGUCCUAUGCGUGUAUCUAGUACGCUCCUAUAGCAAGAGGAGGAGGUGUCAGUCGUUGCCGUCGAUGCACAUUUGUUGGAUCUUCGCUGGAGCGCCAUAUUUCGCGUCGACGUUCUGUCUGCUGUCUGCAUGCUUUUCAUAAGCAGUGGCGACGACGAUGCACACGCAUGUCCCUUUGCGCUGACGAUGAUACUACUCGGCGUCGGCCAAGGCGAGCGGCAGCAAUUGGGCG
rnacentral:lncRNA from 1 species